AAGGAUCAUUGUCGAGGGAAAGAACCAACAAGCGAACCCGUUCGGUCACUCUUCGCACGCGGGCGCGCCCUUCGGCCUCGCGCUUCCGCACGGGCGGUGGCGGGGGCCGAGGGCGCCGACCCGUCGAGCGACACCCACAGGGCGCAGCGCGCGCCAAGCACCCGAAGCGAAAAGGCUGGUCCCCCCGCGCCGGUGUUCGGCCCUUCCAGCCGUCGGGGCGCGGCACCGACGCGGGGGACCCAUCCGAACGACUCCGAUCGAAUACGACUCUCGGCAACGGAUAUCUCGGCUCUUGCAUCGAUGAAGAACGUAGCGAGAUGCGAUACGUGGUGUGAAUUGCAGAAUCCCGUGAACCAUCGAGUCUUUGAACGCAAGUUGCGCCCGAGGCCACUCGGCUGAGGGCACGCCUGCCUGGGCGUCACGCCCCCGAUCGCUCCCCCCGCGGCAUGGCAUUUUGCCUCGGGGAGGCGGAGAUUGGCUGCCCGUGCGCCACUCGUAGGCGAGCGGUUGGCCGAAAUGCAGGUCGACGUGCGGUGCGGCACGACGCGUGGUGGUUUGGAGCCGCGACCGAUCGCGAAUCGGACGCAGUGCCUGUGUCACGCCGCACCCGGUGCGACCCGUGGGACGCAGCUUUUUUGCCCGUUCGGAAGGGCACUCGGACCGCGACCCCAGGUCAGGCGGGACCACCCGCUGAGUUUAAGCAUAUCAAUAAGCGGAGGAGAAGAAA
rnacentral:sRNA from 1 species